AAGGCUCUAGCUUAAUUAAAGUUUCUGGGUUGCAUCUAGAAGAUGCAGGGUAGUAUCCUGCGAGUCUUA
rnacentral:tRNA from 1 species